CCCCUAGAUGUUCUGGGCCGCACGCGCGCUACACUGAACAGUUCAACAAGUCUUAACCUUGGCCGAUAGGUCUGGGUAAUCUUUGAACGCUGUUCGUGAUUGGGAUAGACCUUUGCAAUUAUGGGUCUUCAACGAGGAAUUCCUAGUAAACGCAAGUCAUCAGCUUGCAUUGAUUACGUCCCUGCCCUUUGUACACACCGCCCGUCGCACCUACCGAUUGAAUGGUCCGGUGAAAAUUUCGGAUACCGGCGUUGCUGGCGGUUCGCCGCCGGCGACGCUGGUAGAAGAUCUUUAAACCUUAUCAUUUAGAGGAAGGAGAAGUCGUAACA
rnacentral:rRNA from 1 species